UGCGUAGGUGGUGAGGUAAGUCGGAUGUGAAAUCUCCGAGCUCAACUCGGAAAUGGCAUUGGAAACUACCUUGCUAGAGGAUUGGAGGGGAGACUGGAAUGCUUGGUGUAGCAGUGAAAUGCGUAGAUAUCAAGCGGAACACCAGUGGCGAAGGCGAGUCUCUGGACAAUUCCUGACACUGAGGCACGAAAGCCAGGGGAGCAAACG
rnacentral:rRNA from 1 species